rnacentral:rRNA from 1 species
GAUGAACGCUAGCUACAGGCUUAACACAUGCCAGUCGAGGGGAAACGACAUCGAAAGCUUGCUUUUGAUGGGCGUCGACCGGCGCACGGGUGAGUAACGCGUAUCCAACCUGCCCACCACUUGGGGAUAACCUUGCGAAAGUAAGACUAAUACCCAAUGAUAUCCCACGAAGACAUCUGAAUGGGAUUAAAGAUUUAUCGGUGAUGGAUGGGGAUGCGUCUGAUUAGCUUGUUGGCGGGGUAACGGCCCACCAAGGCAACGAUCAGUAGGGGUUCUGAGAGGAAGGUCCCCCACAUUGGAACUGAGACACGGUCCAAACUCCUACGGGAGGCAGCAGUGAGGAAUAUUGGUCAAUGGGCGAGAGCCUGAACCAGCCAAGUAGCGUGCAGGAAGACGGCCCUAUGGGUGGUAAACUGCUUUUAGAAGGGAAUAAAGUGGGUCACGUGUGACUUUUUGCAUGUACCUUAUGAAUAAGGACCGGCUAAUUCCGUG